ACAUUUAUAUACAAUUCUUGCAUUUCUGAAUCUCGGUGACUGAGAGAGACACUUGUGAUAAAAAGAAAGGGAAGUCGUUGUAGGUAAAUAUUUUUGAGAGGGCAUCCUUCUUGUUGUCCGUUGCUUGCAGAACCUGUCAGUGUUUAUGCGGGGGCUUUGUGUUACUAGAAUCUUCAGAGGUGAGGUGUGAGCAGGACUGGAGGAAGGGUGAGCUGCUUUUUAUGUCUGUAUGGUGACAUUUACCAUGCUGUUUAAAUCUGUAUCUGUUAAAAAAAAAAAAGAAAGAAAGAAAAUAGAAUUUCUGUUUGACGAUAGUAACGUUUUGUGCAAGGCAGAGCAUAUGGCUGUGCAGAAUUCAAGUGGCGUUCUUUUAUUUUUAAUUUGUAAUUAUUUUUACAUUCAACUGUACUGAGGUCAGAGAGUUUUAAAAAUUAAUGAGAUUCCCUGUGGAGUUCAAAUAGUAAUAUCUACGUGAGCCUCCACAAAGAGAUAAGAUUAGGCCAGUAUAUAUGUAUUUUUUUCUUUCUUUCUUUCUUUUUUUUUUUUUUUUUUUGGCCAUGAUUUGGCUGUCUUACUUUGAAUACACGCCAUCUGAAGCAUAUGUAGGGUUCAAUAGUUUCUGGGAGUUGGUGUGAUUUGGAAGACUAGCCCUUAAUUUAUUGUUUAGUGACCAAGAGGCAUGGAGCCCCAGUUAGACUGCUGAGGAUGAACACUGUUAGGUGGGGACAUUCCUAAAACUUCACAGACUUUAUUGUCAUGACAAUGGAGCGAGUCUUAGACUUUCGAGGAAAGAGCAAAUGAUAAAUGAGGCAACGUGCUAAGAAGAAGAAGAAAAAGAAAAUCUGCGAAUGUGGCUUUAUUUUAAGUACUGUGUGAAAAUUCUAGGUAAAGACAGUUAUUUAGGAUCAAAGCUUGCUGGUCUGAACAAAGAGGCAAAGAUCCGCACAGGUGAAAAUUCUUUGCCACAAAAUGAAUCUAGAGCAUAGAUUAAGGGCAGGAAGUGAUUUGGUGAUUCACUAUUUUAUUUUAUUAUUAUUUUUUUAACCUUUAUUCUUGCCCCAUAAAGGUAGUUCACUGGGUUGAGUCCAGGCAUUUACAACUUUGAUUUCCCACAAUUUAAAAGCAUUGUUUGUGUGUCCGUGGUCUAAGACGCUGUUUAUAGGAGAGGCACUGAGAAGUAGUCUGAACAGAGGGUAAUCUGGGCUUCCAUUUACAAGAUCCAUUCAGGUCUUCCUGUGAUAUAUUGUUAUGUAAAUACUUUUCGGCCAGGGAGAGCUGGGCUAUGGAGAUUCAAUUUACUUUGAAAGUUGUUCAUUAUAGCAAGGAUGAAUGUUAUUUAUUUGAUGCGAUUCAAAGACUGGAAAUGACUUUUUCAUUGUGGUACUUUUUGUGAUGGGUCCAGGGUGAUCUAAUCUUUUUAAUUUUGGCUUUCACACCAGUGGAGAUGAAAAGAGAUCUGAACUCAUUUAUCGGUUGCUAGGUCUUUCUGGAAGCCCAAGUUCUGUUUGUGGUUGCUAUGGUCAGGCUGACCUCAAUCUCUGUGGUUUGAGGGACUUAAGCAGUCAUUUUUUUUCUUUUCUUUUCUUUUCUUUUUUUUUUUUAAUUGAGGAGCAUGUACCUUGAUUUAUGUCCAAAACUGUAGCUGAAUGUCUUUGUCUGCGGGUGAUAUAUGGUGCAGAACAAUUCAUCUGUUCUUACGAGUAAACACCGCUGUCCCACUAAAAAUAUGUUUUGUUCGGAGUUAAUGGUAUGGAACAAGGCAUUCUCCACAAAUAGCUAUCUUUUAUUGUGUUGGGGCCGCGGAAACGCUGAGCAAAGUGCAGGAAAUUGGCAUCAGUCCUCGCGUCUAUUAGCAUUUCAUUUGUGAGUCGCAUGAUAAGACCGGUAGGUGGACAGAGGGAGCCAGGAAGGGUUGUUUCGACAUCUUCACUUUCUCAACUGGGACCGCCUAGCCUGACCCGCAUUCGCCAGGACCCAGUAAGUCAGCGUUAGUUCCCCCUGACCCGGUGAGCAUCGUUUCGCCCAAGCGCUAAAGCACACCCAGGCGGACGUGCUGAGGCUCAGCGCUGGGGACCGGUAUUCUUAGGCUCCUUGAGGGAAAGUUGCUGGGUCCGAUCUCGGCACCACCCAGGACUGUAAUGUCUAUGCGCUACUGAAUGGUCCCCGGUCGCCUGCUUUCUAGACUCUUGUUAGAAAGGAGCCCGGGUGAAUCAGAGGCUAUGGAGAACGCAGCCCAAUUCAGCAGAUGAGCCGGAAUACAGUCCUGCUCCCUUAAAAACUGCUAAUUGAUGGAUGCUGCGGGGGAACAGACACCGCGAACGAGGGCAAAAUAGGAAUCAGGAGAGGCACGUAUUGCCGAUAGCACCACCGAUUUCCUUCUCAAAGCAGCUUGCACGGACUAUCCUCAGGAAAAUGAGAUCCAGGAGAAGUGACGCCCUCCUCGAACUGAAAGAUACUCAUGCUAAUGGUGUCACGGAAGAAGCGAUGUAUCGACAGCUCAGGAUGGCUGCAGGGGACAUAUUCAGACGUGGCCCAGAUUGUCUGCCCAUGGGGACUGAGAUACCUCUGAGAUUUAUAUCAGAUCUCCACAGUCUUUGUCGCUGUAUUUUGUUAGAAAGAAAGGCGAGGCUGUUUCUACAGGUGCCACAGAAAAAUCGAUGCCGAGUCACGGAUUAUUGGAUCCCACAGAACCAUGGAGACUUGGCGGUGAAAUUCUUCUAAAGUUUCUUCUGGCUAUCAGAGAGUUGAAAGGGGAAAAAAAAAUAAAGAGCCAAAGCUGUUUCAACUUCUUGGUUGUUUUACUCCAUGGCUUAGCAUUCCAUCUGCGCAGGCAGAGGUGUUCCUGGUUUGGGAAGUAUAAAUCCCGCGGGAAGUCAACUGGAGAACAUUUUACGCGUCCGUCACUCAUCCUAUUAUGAGCCUGCUGCUCUUCCUUCUCUGGACAAGCCUAAACUUUAAGAUUUGCUGAACAAACCUUGUGUCAAAUUUGGACCACCUAGACAGUAUUCCACCCUGAUUGUAUCCCAUGUCACUAUUCUGUGCAAGGCCACCGACUAGAAGAGCACAGAAUUAUUAAAAAGAAAACAAAAAAAAAAACCAAAAAAAACACAGCUGAAAGUGAACGUCUUUGGAUUUCCCAUUUAAUGAGUUGGCAGCUAAAGGACAGGAGCAGCAAUAAGGCUGCCUGGCUACAUUUUCAUAGUGCCACCAACUGCGAGUUAAGCUGACAAACAUUUUGAGAGCUCGGCCCAUUUCAUUCACAGCAGGAUGGCAGGAGUUAACUAACACUGUAAAAAAAACCUAACUAAAAAUCGUGCCUUUACUGCACAUUUGCACAGAAUCUCAGGACUGAAAGUGUCGAAGUUCUGCUCGACAAGCGGGUGACUGAUUGUCCCUGCCAGCUGGCUAAUAUCAUAAUUAGCAAAGUUGCUACCACAUCUGCAAAGUUUAAUCGAAAAAUUUACCAGUGGUAUGAUGGCAUUGUCACCAUGAUCCCAAGGGAAUCGGAGUCGACUUCUGCUUCAGGAGGAACGGCAAGGCUGUAUAGCUGAGAUGAGAAAUUGUAAACUUGCUCAGCCAAAGGUUAUGCUUCGCAUCACCCACCAGGGAGGAUCAUCUCUCAUGAAAACUUUCAAAUUUGAUUUUGAAAAUUUAUUCAGAAAAAUUUAAGCCACGCUCUUUUUCAACACAGAAAAUAAUAUGCUCCAGAGAAUCCUCUAAUUCACAGAAAAUGGACUCGGAUAACAUUUGGGUUCUCAUACUACCACAGUUCUCUUGAGAAGGACAGCCAGGAGGCUAAUAAUGAAGGGGCCAGGGAAGGAGGCCAAUGCUACAAGGGUUAUCUCUCAACCUCAGAUGUUGGAUAAGUCAGGGAACAGCGUCGUUUCUGGAUGGCUUCAGACAGGCCGGACUGACUGUUUGGAAGAGAAAAACCUGCUUAUUCUUUCAAAGGUACAUGAAUGUUGUCCACACCUUCCCGUCUAAAGGUUAGAAUCUUGCCUUAGACAAAGGAUGCUCUUGGAGUCCCACCACACCUAAAACCACGCUUUGAAGGAUCUGCCAAGCUCACUUUUAAUCAUGAGAAAGAAAUUACCCACAUGGAGACAGCAGAAAAUGAGAAAGGAGAGAUCGUGCUGCGAAUAAUUCCAGCGAGUGCCAAGGGGCUAGUUGAGGAAUGGCUUCAUGAGGUGAAUAUCUUAGCUUGUACUUAGAAUUUGGUUAGCGUAUAAUCAGUUUCUCUUUUAGGAGCGAAUACAAUCCUAAGUGUAUUUCCCAUCUGAGCACCGCUCAGGGCAUUUAUCAGGAUGUUGACAUAUUUAAUAUCGGCCUCGUCCUCGCCGUUAUUUAUGAUGACUAAUUUUACACUUAUAAAUAUGCAGAAAUCGAUGUAGGUGGAAAGGCUCUCUGAGCCCCAUGUCUGUCGCUAGCCGUCUGUCUUCAUGUGCAGCGCUCUGCUAGUGUGGCCUGUCCAGUAAUGUGUGUCUCUGUGUAUGUGCGUGCUCUUGUUGUCUCCUCUCCGCUGUGAAUGUGCAUUGGGAGAAUUAGCCUUAUGACAGGAUAUCAAAAGAUGGGCCCAAGACUUUCAUUUUUGGAAUGGAAAGAAAAAAUAAUGCGUAACACUUUGUAUCACAUCAGUUUCAAUUCUUCCUGAGAGGGAGGGGGCCAAUCAGGUAUGAGUCAUCACAGGGCAAAGCAACCAGGAUUCAAAUUGAACAUCACCUUCAGUGUCAAAUUAGUUGAAAGUCCCCCUUUUCCUUUACGGUGACUGGCUGAAACCCCUGCCAUUAUGUCUGUUUGUUUUAAAAGGGUGGGGGGAGCUGCCUGAGUUCAUCCACAGUGCCAUGUAGCUUUUCUUUGUUUCAUUUUUCUAAGGAUCAGAUCCAAGAAAAAUAAUAGGUUAGUAAUUCAAGACCAUCACUACUUACACGGUUCUCUCCCGGGCAUGUCAUUUCUUUGGGUGCCAAGUUUCAUCAAGAUCACUAAGUAAACAAAUGAGCGAUAACUUUUUUGCUCCUUUUUUCUUUUAAUUUGACUAGGGAGUAAGAACUGGGAAAGUCAAGUGUCUUUAUGAGUCACAGAGGAAGAAUGCAGGAACCCCCACCCCCACCCCCCAACUUCUGGUCUCAGACUUUGAUUUCCCACACAACCAAGUCACGGGAUCGCCAUGCCAACCUUAAGCAAUUUUGGCUCCCAGCAAUCCUGUGCUGGGGAAUCUUUCAAACUACCCUUCAAUCCGGGUCCAAAGGGCCACAGCACAGACUAGUAGAAAGAGUGCAUUAUCUGAGAAAGCACCAGGCUGCUUUCCCAUUGGUAUAUGUGUUUGGUGCCACGGUUAAGCACCGCUGGGGUCUAAUACGUGGAUGACCCCCUUUAUAGAGUGUGGGGGCUUCUGAGGAAAAGGCAAGCAUUGACUAAGAAAAAGAGUCAUUCUUCCAUGUGUUUUCAUAAAAGGACAAGGCAGGCCUCUUUGAGAGCUUCUGAAAGAGAAGAGGCAUGGGAGGAGAUGAGCCAGCUGGGGGUGGGUUGUUUUGGGGAGGGGAGCCAGCUGGGGAAUGGAGAGAGAGAGAGAGAGGCUGGGGAGAUAGCCAGCUGGGAGAAGAGGUAGGAUAAAGCCAAGGCACAAAGGUACAGGCAGAUGAGCAGCUGUGUUUAUUUGAAUACAUAUCAUUUAACCCUCACCUAAAAACAAAUUGGAGAGGUUUGGGAGUGCAUUAAUCUGGACCCAAUUAGCAUGUCUUUCCCCUUCAAAAGGUGCAACCUGAGAUUAAUGAAUAUCAACCAGAGUUUCAGAAGCAGCACUUAAAUCAUUUGCAUGUUUGUGCAUGAUAAUUGGAUUUAUGUAUGCACUUCCUUUCAUUUAACUAUUUCCAGUCUCCUUAUGAGUGAGUCAUACAACCCAAAACUUCAUUCGAGUGAUUUCUAGGUAGAAAUAGCUUACCUAGCAUUCUACCCCUAAGGGGGGAAAAACUCAAGUGGUUGUACAUUUUGAAUUUGAAUACCACAUUUCUUUCUUUUAUUAUUAUUUUUUUUAACAUAGAGGGCAGUUGAUAAUAGUGUGGAAUGCUGCUGCUUCUGGAGUUGGUAAAUAGGCACCACAGAUUUAUCUUUAAAAGGCUAGGAAAAUAAGGAAAUUUCCAACAUCAAGCUUUCAUGGCUUCCGUGUGGCCACUAGUAAGAGAUUUUAUAAUGCUAGGAACGAGGCCACUUGAAUGCCGCAUGGGGAAUGUUCUUGGUGUCUGGACCUGUGGCAAUUAGAUCACAGAGACAUCAGCAUCCAGGAUGGUUUAUGGCAUAGUUAGAAAUGUGUUUCUAUAGAAAGAGAUGGGAAUGCGGUCAACAUCUGUGAACUGCUGUGGACAGGCAAGGAGCAUUGUGAACCCUUGAUGCUGUGGGUUUGGUCCUUCUCAUUUCCUCCCUCCCUCCCUUCCUUCCUUCCUCCCUCCCUCUCUCCCCACCUUCCUUCCUUCCUUUAUCCCUCCCUCCCUCCCUUUUUUCCUUCCUCCCUUCCCCUCCUUCCCUCCCUUCCUUUCUCCAUCUCUCCAUCCUUCCCUCCCUCUCUUUCUCUUUCUUUUUUAGGUUAUUUGGGUAUAGACAGCUUACUGAUGACACAGCACAUUCAGGUCUUAAGAUUCUUCCUUUCCACUUGGUACCACAUGAACUAUGAACACAAACAGUGAGUGUGUAUGAAAGCUUCCGUGGGAGAAAGCAGAAGCAGAAGGCUUUAAGUUAUUCUCCUGGCUUCAGUUUGUACAGUGAUUUGUCUGUCUUCUGUCUUUCCUUCUGUGUUUCCAAGUUCAAUGUCCAAGUGAUGAGCUUUUCUCCAGGAAUUCUCCCCAGUGUCCUUUGUUUCUGGUGACAUUCUGUGGUUGAAUGUUACCGAGUGUCUCCUGGUCUUGUUUCUGGUCCUCGUAGCGAAGAAUGUCAUUGAAGGAUAAAAAUCUUGUUAAUUUGUGAUGUUCCAAUCUAAGUGUGCUUCGUGUCCCUUACGUGUUAGCCUAAAAUGUUCUUUAAUGUAGCAUGAAAUGAUUGGUUGGCUUGGAAAUGGUUUUGAAGUCGUGUGAAGAAAAUAAGUUUUACAUCCGGCCAAGAUAAAUUCACUCUAGUGCUUUAUGGCUUUUUAUUCCUAUGUGAUCGUAAUAAAGUCUCAUGUAGGGAUGGAAGCCAUGAAAUACAUUGUGAAAAUUCAUCAACUAAGAAGGGGCCAUCAGAAUAGAGAACUAGAGCCUCUGGAACGUGCUGGAGACGUGAGCUAGUGGACAGCUCUGCUACCCUCUUUGGUGUUCCUUGAGUGUCUUCAUCCUUAGGCAUUGACAGCUAAGGAAUGGAGGUUGCAAGAGUUCUGUCAUCUUCCUGACCACCGAUUAACAUGCACAUUUGACUUUGCGCAUUUCUGUCUAUCAUACAUUUUUUCCCCUCCGUUUUUCUACUAAUGAUCAUGCUCUGGAAGAAUGGUUAAUAGCCCACUCACUUGUAGGCAGCAUUCCAACCUUCUGUGACUUUUUCUCGACAACUUUUGAGGUCUUUCUUCUGAAACAAAGAAGAAAUAGACAAACCAGAUUUGUCCUCUUGGAAAUGUGGUCCAGAUUUCUCUACUCCCAAUCUCCAAAAUAAAGGUAUACCUCGCACGGGCUAGCCUCAUACCCAGAUCCAAAGAUUCCAUAACAGUCAUUCUCCCUUUACAGGUGUGGUAGAGUGAAGCUUUGAAGGGGAGGCUGGGUUCUGCUAUCUUCAAGUCAGCUGUGUGACAGGGUCAUGUGAAUUAAACUGGAGGAGUCCAUCCCUUGUCUUUAAAAAUGGGGAGGGGGAGGGGGAGGGGGAGGGAUAAUACCAACAUUGUUAUAAGGAUAAAAUGAAGUAACAUAUCUACACUUUACCUAACAUUAUUUUGCCUUGACUUUGUUUUUAAAAGCUUAUGAAAUACUAGUUUUUCUCCCUUCCCUCCUCCUCCUGUCCCUUUCUCUCUCCCUCCACUACCCUUCCCUUCUUCAGAUGUUAGUCUAUCUAGAACAACACAUUUGGAUCUAAGCUGGACCUUUGAGAAAGAAAAGACUUCGAGGAAAGACACCUUUACAUAUGGUUUAAUUACCUUUUACCUCAAUUGUUUAAUACAAACUAUCCAACUAUAUCCAUCUUUUCUGCUUCUUGUAUAUUUCUUCUUUUGCUUGAACUGUUUCAGUAUUGACUAUUGAAUUACAUAGUCAUUCUGGAUUUUUAAAAAGAGAAUUCUAAUAAAACUUAUAUAUGUUGCUAA